rnacentral:rRNA from 1 species
CCUACGGGAGGCAGCAGUGAGGAAUAUUGGUCAAUGGACGCAAGUCUGAACCAGCCAUGCCGCGUGCAGGAAGACGGCGCUAUGAGUUGUAAACUGCUUUUGUCCGAGGGUAAAUCCCGAUACGAGUAUCGGGUUGAAAGUAUCGUACGAAUAAGCAUCGGCUAACUCCGUGCCAGCAGCCGCGGUAAUACGGAGGAUUCAAGCGUUAUCCGGAUUUAUUGGGUUUAAAGGGUGCGUAGGCGGGCCGUUAAGUCAGAGGUGAAAUCCCGGGGCUCAACACCGGCACUGCCUCUGAUACUGUCGGGCUGGAGUUUAAGUGCAGUAGGCGGAAUGUAUGGUGUAGCGGUGAAAUGCAUAGAGAUCAUACAGAACACCGAUUGCGAAGGCAGCUUACCAAACUACGACUGACGUUGAGGCACGAAAGCGUGGGGAGCAAACAGGAUUAGAUACCCGUGUAGUC